GUCAACCAGAUCAAAUAGAUUUCUUCUUUAACGAGAUCAGCUAUGCCAGCUGUCAAACACAAAGCCUGGCAGCAUAUUCUGGCUUUUGCGUUCAAUCAUGUGAUAAGAUUACUCAUUUAAAGCACUUUAUCCAUUCAUCAACUAUCAGUUCGGAUCUGGCAAAGGUGGUUUAUACCUCUGUGUCGUGUGGCCAACAAAAAUUACCACCGUUUCAGCAGUCUUCCUGCCAUUCCUACCUAACCAACCAACACACAUAGACAUAGACCCCAAAACCAUUUUCUUGUGGACUGCCAAGUCUUUACUUUCUUCAUCGUAAUUCCUGGCCCCACUAUCUUUUUAGUCUUCGAGUAACAGCUAGCUAGGGCAUUUUCCUUUUCUAUCCCAUGUAAAAAGACCUUCAAGAUUUCGAUCUCUGUGUAUUAACUCUCUCAAGCCAUCUAAAAGUAA